UACAGAGGUCUCAAGCGUUGUUCGGAUUCAUUGGGCGUAAAGGGUGCGUAGGUGGCGCCGUAAGUCAGGUGUGAAAUUUCGGAGCUUAACUCCGAAACUGCAUUUGGUACUGCGGUGCUUGAGGACUGGAGAGGAGACUGGAAUUUACGGUGUAGCAGUGAAAUGCGUAGAGAUCGUAAGGAAGACCAGUGGCGAAGGCGGGUCUCUGGACAGUUCCUGACACUGAGGCACGAAGGCCAGGGGAGCAAACGGG
rnacentral:rRNA from 1 species